CCUCACUACUGUGGGACUCAGGAGACUGUUGGACAAGGAGAAGCUUUCUGUACGUGCUGCCUGGCUUUCCCCGAUCCUUGUGUAAGUUGUCCCGUCUCUUUCCCGGCAGGCCGUGCCCGCAGAACCCAUGGCGAGAUCUAACCCUGGGCGUGACAUUUUGGUCUGUUGCCGUAAAUAGGAUUCUAAAGUCAUACAUUAUCUGUAAUGAAAUUCACUGUGGCGUUAUCUAGGUAAAUGAGUGAGUUUUGAAGCUAAAAAUCAGGGAGAGAUGGGAAAUUCAUUUAAGUCAGGAAAAGAAACUAGGAGAAAUGAUCAGCAUACAAUCUGAAAAAACCCACGUCUGAAAAAUAUUAAGACCUUCCCACUAAGCAUUUGCAGUGAAGUAUUUAUUAUCUCUUCCCCGUCUUUCAAAGGAAGAAUGAUGUGCCAGCAUUAAGACAUCUGUUUCCCAAAGCAUCAAGAUGUGCUGUUGGCAGCAUAUUAUUUUGAAAUGAAUUUACUUCUAAAGAGUAGACUUUUUAUAAGAAGGGACGUGGGGAGGACUGUGAGGCACCAGCGCACCUGACGCCUUUGUGAUGAGCUGGUUAUGUAUUCACGUUCAGAGGCAAAUGACCGAGGUGAACUCUCACAGAGGCAUCGGCUUCAUGUAAAUGAGGUCAUUUCCCUCUUGCGACCUUGCGUGGCAUCAGCAGAUGAGCUGUGCACGAGCAGUAAAGCAGCAUGUCCCGCUGGCGCUCAGUCUGUCAUCCGCGAAGGCAUCAGGACGGAGAGAGGGCUGGUGGCUGUCCACGCUUAACCAGCAGCCUUAACUGACGGAUGGAGCCAUACCCUUGUUAGCCGACACCUGCUUUUAGAAGUUAUUUAUAGUCGUUCCCGUCGUGGCACAGCGGAAAGGAAUCUGACUAGGAACCAUGAGGUUUCAGGUUCAAUCCCUGGCCUCGUUCAGUGGGUUAAGGAUCUGGCGUUGCUGUGAGCUGUGGUGGAGGCCAGCAGCUACAGCUCCGACUGGACCCCUAGCCUGGGAACCUCCAUGUGCCACUGGUAUGGCCCUAAAAAGACAAAGAAAAAGUUAUUUAUAAAGAAGAGAUCGUUGUAAUUCAAACAGCCAGAGGUAGUUUUAAAUGUCGGGAUGUCCGGCCCUGGAUUCCUCUGGGCGAGGGGCCCAGUGGGAGCGCUUAGCAUCUCCUCUAACACCCGUUUAUGCCGAGAGUAUUUUUCCUGUAUGUGAAGAGUCCGUUCAAAUGGCAUGUUAUAAGCAAAACGUUCGAAACAUACAUAGAUUCUUGAAGUCUUGAACCGUGUAAACAAGGCUGUAAGACUAGCCACCUGGCGCAUCAGUAGACCAAACAGUUGACAGGACAACAUGUAAAGAGCUUGGAAGGUCACACUUCUCCCCUCACCGUCAGAAAAUAAGCUCGACAGAUUGAAAGUCAGCAGCGCUGCUUAGAUGCAUCGGAGAACUGAAGUCACAGGGUGACCGGCUGCCCUGAGAAAUGGAGGGAAGAGGGUACCGGGAAUCCCAGCUUCCUAGAAGCAGAACCUCGCUCCUGCCCGCCCAGCCCACUCCUGCCCAGCCCCAGGAUGGGUCAGAACAGGUGAACUGCAGUAGGGGAGUGGCUGGGGCACUGCGUGCCCAGUGGAGAGUUCAGAACUCCCAGGCCUCACCCUCCCCAGGCGUGGGGGAGGGGAACGGGGCGGAGACUCACUCCCUUGGGAACUUUACCUCCAGGAGCCCCCCAGAGUCAAAUAAACAUCCCCUCCCGCUUGUGGCACUGGGAAGGGAGAAGCAACCAUUUGAAAUUCGUAUCCAGAGCACUCUUUUAUUUUAUUUUAUCUUAUUUUUUUCUUUUUAGGGCCACACUUGCAGCCUAUGGAGGUUCCCAGGCUAGGGGUCGAAUGGGAGCUGUAGCUGCUGGCCUACACCCCAGCCGCAGCCACUCGGGAUCCGAGACGCCUCUGUGACCUACACCGCAGCUCACGGCAACGCUGUCUGCGUCGCAUUUGUGUUGUAUAUAAUAAGUCAUCUAGAGCUGACUUAAAGGGCAGGUUGGGAAUCGUUUAGACUAAAUGCAGAUACUUGGUUGUUAUGUAAGGGAUGUGAACACCUGUGGAUUCAGGUGUCCGUGUAGGUCCUGGGAGCAGAGUCCCCAGUGGAAGUGUAGCGUUCACCCAGCGCUGCGAUGAGACGGAUGCCGUCAUCCCGCCUCCCUCUGCCUUUCGGGCUCGGCCGGUGCCCCGAGGUGCUGCCCCUCCUGGGCUCAGUGCGGGAGGGUGGACUGGCCCUCCACGGAGAACACGUCACUGCUCUGCCUCCUCAGAUCAUGCGUCAGAGACGAGCCGUGUCGCCGCAGGAAGACGUGUUCUCGACUCUGCGGACCCUGGGUCCUUGCACUUGUCUGUCACUCACAGGCACGGAGCUCGAGAAAUUUGAACAUUUACCCAAAACAGCUUUCACCUCUCAGUUUUCCUUUUUAGCUCGGUUAUUCUUUUUAGGUUAAUAAGAAUGUUCUCUGUGGCUUGGUUACUCCUUAGAUCUUGCACACCCCUGCCCUUGUAAGCUGGUAGCUCUGGAAGAUAUUUUAAAACCUAGAUUUUUCCUUCUGACAAAGGGGAGAGGGUUUGCUGACCUACUGUGUGCACUUGAAGCAAAUCUACUUCCAGCUUUGAUCCCGUGACCAAGGAGGUGGCCAGAGCAAUGCCGUGUUUACUCGCUGCGACGCCAGGUGCCACUGGCAGGGCUGCUGAGCGCUGCCCCCUACUGUCCAGUGGUGGGGACUCCCUGCCCAGGGGCUGUGUCCACCUUCCCAGUUUCAGGAGCAUAGGUCACUCACUCUGAGGCUGAAGAGCGAGACCCACAAGCGUUUCUGGUGACUUAGCGUGUUGGGGGCAGGUGCAGCCUCCCUACGGCUCAAGCAGCAGGCUCUAAAAGACUGUUCGUGUCACAACUACUUUGCAUAUGUUUUUGGGGCUCACUGAAAAAAUGUCCACUUGUUUAAGAAGGUGCCUGUCACGAUUUAUGCUCUGUGAUAAAAUAUUCCAAAUGAUUAUUUCCUUAAGCACCAUAAGGGAGGUGAAAGGCAGAUGCCCAGAUAUUUCUAAGAUAUGUAAUAUAUGUGAUGGAUGAAUUUGUUAUGAGACACUUAUCACUCUAAUAGUAACAUCUCAAGGAUUGCUAGUUUCAAAAAGGUCCAAACGUUUAAUAAAAAUAUGAAAACAUUAUAAAGAUCCCUAAUAAUGAAAUGAAUGUAAAAGCAUCCUUUUUUUAAAAUUUUUUUAAUUUUCCCACUGUACAGCAAGGGGGUCAGGUUAUCCUUACAUGUAUACAUUACAAUUACAUUUUUUCCCCCCCCCUUUGUUCUGUUGCAACAUGAGUAUCUAGACAAAGUUCUCAAUUCUACUGAGCAGCAUCUCCUUGUAAAUCUAUUCUAAGUUGUGCAGAGAUGAAGGAACAAUACUCGGUGUCAGGAAUGAACUGGAAGUGUGACCUCUUUCUUAUCAUAGAUGGCGCGUUCAUAGAUAUGCUUCUGAGGAAUGGCUGCUGCCAGUGUAUUAUGACAACUUAGAAGAUGCACUCAUGCUCCGACAUUGGUCCAGGACUGCUCAGUGCGCAGUGCUUGUUUCCCAUGACUGUCGAGGGGUCACUCUGCCUGGUCCCUCUGAGCUGCACCUCACUGGAUCCAGGGCUCAUACGUAGCCCAGGGAAGCCCGCGUUACUGUGCUGGUGACUGAAAGGACGUUUAUUCUGGACAGAGGCUCACAGAUUCUAGAGCCAGGGCCUGACCUGUUGUCAGAACACUCUCCAUUGUCUCCAUCAGCCCAUGAACAGGUGCACAGGGCCACCCUCGCCACCGGACUCAUGACCAAAUUAAAAGAAGGUAGUUCUUUCAUAAUUUGAAGUAGUCCAGCUGGUACAGUAUGUUUGAAGUUCCUGCAGCAAACUGAUUUCCAGAAUCAGUCAUGUGCUGUACCUUAUUCAGUUUCUCUUAGCAUUAGAGUGAUGUUUCAAAAUUCUGAAUGUCUAGAACGAGCUCACCAGUUUCUCCUAGUUGACGGCAGUUGCUGUUCUGUGGUUGAGGUGUCUGAGCUGUUUUUAGUCAUAACAUUUUGGAUACCAAGUGCAAAGUUUUUUUGUUUUUUUUUUUCUCCUCCCAAAUAUCCAGACACCAGCUGGAUGCCUGCAAUUAAAUUCUGUGUUGACUACCCAGAGCUCACUCACACCCGGGAGGAAAAGGGCUCCGUCCCACCAGACCUCCCCCCACUUGAGAUGCUAGUCACCUGUACUGUUCACUGACCAGCUGUAAACCUUGGGUUUCCAUAACCCUCUCCUCGGGUUCAGCAAUGUGCUCGACUGGCUCACAAAACUCAGAAGGGGCUUUACUUAAUAUAAUGGGCUUAUGAUAAACAAAAAACUCAGGGACAGCGAAAUGGAAGAGCUGCAUCAGGGAGUGGGCGGGGAGGGGCCUCUCCUCCCAGGGAGCCUGGACGUGCUCACCCUCUGAGUGCUCUGAACCCCACCAGGUCCCUACCUUUUUAAGGGCCUUUUAUCGUGUAGGCACAGUUACCGGUACAGGGGGGCUGUGGAUUAGAAAACAUUCAGAAGCGUCUGGCAUCAGAGAAACUCACGGUCAUUAAUAGACCCCUUUGGAUUUCGCCUCCAGGCUCCCCCAGAGAUAUUUUCACUCAUUUACUCUGAUGGGAUGGUUAGAUUUGAGUAGUAAGAACGCGCGAGCGCCUGAACAUACUGCCUUGUACAUUCUAAAAGAUUGUACACCUGCUGGGUCAGUGCUUGCUGGUUGCGUCAUUUCUUAGGGACUCUGAAGUAGUCGGGUAUAUAAAUACUUCAGCAGCCUUUGGAUAAAAGACUCAAUUUUCUCCCCUUUGUUUAGUUGCGUUCAUCACCGACUUGCUCUCAGUGUUUCCUCUUUCACAGCAGGUUUAUUAGACGGAUGAGCUGUAGUUUGAAAUUGCUUUGGGAGUUCCCAUCAUGUCUCAGUGGAAACGAAUCCAACUAGGAUCCAUGAGGACGCAGGUUUGAUCCCUGCCCUCGCUCAAUAGGUUAAGGAUCCGGUGUUGCCAUGAGCUGUGGUGAAGGUGGCAGACGCGGCUCAGAUCUUGCGUUGCUGUGGCUGUGGUGUAGGCCGGCAGCUACAGCUCCGAUUCGACCCCUGGCCUGCAAACUUCCAUAUGCUCCAAAAGACAAAAAUAAAUAAAUAAAUAAAUUGCUUUAUAUUUAGAGACUGAAAAUGAGGGAUUAGCCAGAGGCCUGUCUGACACCUCCUGGGAGCCGUCUCAGUGUCCCUGCUUCCUCAGUGUCCGGCCUGCCCUCUUGUACCUGUUUUACCCCUUGGGAGUCCCUGGCCACGAGAAGGGCUCAGAAAAUCGUGUUCUCCUGGUGGCUGGGGUUUCCUCCUUCUGCCCCGAAGGUUAACUUGGCUGGCCUUCAUCUCUUGCUUUGGCGUGUUAGGACCAGCGUGGACCGGAGGGAGAGCCAGGGCACAAGGAAGGGAGAGCUGGGCACAGCCGGCCCAGGACCCACGUGACUUGUUCCCGGGUCAGAGCAGGGGCGGGUCUAAAGGAAGAGUGGGGUCAGCAUGGACAGAACUGGACCCCAGAACCAGCUGUUUGGGAUAUUCCACAGGUGGACUUCAGGUAAUGCUUGCCACCGCUCAGCGCCUGCUUCUGCCCCUCUGUGUACGGGACGGGUCUUAAGGGGGGGUCGCUGUGAGCCCAUCGUCCAGCGUUGUCUGUAAUUUACCAUCUCAGGACGUCCCUGAGGGUGCACGUGGGGUUCAGUGAAAAGCGCCUGUAAUUUCUUGACCCCCAACAUCCCAGCUACUCUGCCAGUGACCUUUAAUACGUUAUUUCAUGUAAUUGUCACAGAAACUCUUUGCAGUGGCUUUUCUCCGCCCCCACUUUUCAGACAAGAAACGAAAGUCCUAAGAGGUAGCCUGGCUUGUCAGCCUCCAGGUUAGGUUUGGAAAGGCCUGGAGCCGGGCGUCAAACCCAGGACUGUGUCGCUCUGGUGUCAGUGACAGACCUGAGCACCUGCUGGGUGGCGAGCCCUGGGUGGGCUCUGGAAAUGCCCAGCAAUCUAAACUGCCCCCACCACAAGGGAGGUGACUCAGCGUCCUCAUCGGAAUGCUAAGGAGGUUCCAGAAUGGUUUAAUUAAAAGCACUGCAUAAAUGCAUGACAUUACAUUAGGCUGGCGGUGCUUUCCUGCCAAUAGAUGAAGUGCAAGGAAGCACCAGGAAGACGUAUGUGGUUAUAAAACAGAAAUGAGCGGAGCAUAGAAAGGCUAAUUGAAAGCGUGGAAUGUUAGGAAUCCUGCAGGUUUAUUUAUGUGACGUUUGGAAGAUGCUGCUCUAGCAGUUUCUGGCUGGCUUUCGUGGCUGGUGCCAUACCUAACAAACCUAUCUGCUCAGAUUAACCCCACAGGGCUGUGUUUAAAAGCACGCGCCCGUCGGAAGGGAGCCACACCUCAAUACAGUGAGAAAAUACAAUAAAAGUGCGCCUUCACGGAGAACCUGACUUUCAGGGCCCCUGAAGGCCUGCACCUGUGCUUCACGGGGUGUCAGCUGCUUUAGGGUCGGAGAGGAGAUGCCCGUUAACUUGGCGUCCACACCACCUGUGAGGGUCCUGCCUGUGAGGUGCCGCUGCAGCUCCCAGGCCGAAGUGUGAAGGCGGGAGGGUCAGCUCACAGGGAGAGGUGGUUUUAAUCAGGUCCGGGCUUAAAACCCAGUGGUUCGGCGUUGAGGAGCUUAGGAGGGCAGAUGGUAGGCGCUUGCAUUUGUUCCACAAAGUCAGUAAUGCAGAGUUGAUUCAGUUCUCAGGUUUAUGGACCAAAUCAACACUGUUAUACUAACUUUGAAUUUCUGAUACGAUUUUUUGAAUUUAAUCCCAAAUGCUUUGGGGGGAGGGUAUUAGUACCAUUCUAAAAUGCACCGUUCCACGUUUUGAAUUGUCUAGGCGUUCUCCUUCACCAAGUACUUUUCUGGUAACUUUUUGAAUGGAAUUCUGUCAGCAGAAUUAGAGAAAACUAAACCAUAUGCUUGGAAAGAGUCAAUAUUUCAGUGAUCCUGUGUAUUUUGAUUUUACUUGAAAUAGGUGGGAAGGGAGGAGAAAGACGUUUUCAUGUAGAACUCACCUAUCGUGUGCCAGGCACCCUCCUAAGUGCCACCUUUCUACGUAUACGGCAUGAUGUAUAUAGAACAUUAGCUCAUGUCACCGGCAGAGCGCUUGUAACCGUUGUGCAAACAAGGAAUGAACAGCUUUAAGAGAUUAAAGGACUUGCCAGUUAAGAUGGGUCUAGGAUUUGAACCCAGGACUUUUCCUUUCAAAGCUCUUGAUUUUGUUAGAGUUUGCUGCUGUCCUGGUUUGCAAAGACUGCAUUGCAGUGAUCAGAAGUUACAGAGCACAGACUAGUGAAGUCCCAUGGUGUAGCUUUCGAUGGACUUAGUCGGAGCAGCACGAUCAUAUCAAGUAGGUGUUUGCAGGAGGGUCCCGGAGUGACGCUAGAAAGUGUAGGCCGAGGCCCGUCUCCCCAGGCUUGAGCCUUUUU
ensembl:lncRNA